rnacentral:lncRNA from 1 species
CCAUCCUUCUGAGAUUGUCUCCAUCCUACUUGCUCAUCUUUUUUCUUCUCUUUCUUGGGCCUCUCUGACACUGCAAGACCCUCUUGGAAGACCUCACUUUUCAUCAUCUAUUUUCGCUACUUGUUGGACCUUAGUACUGAAAAGAUCUCCUCAUACACCAAUAUCUCCUUACCAUACAAUAGCAUCAUCGUCAAUGAAUCGAAGCUCCCAGAUAGCGAACAUUAUAGUAGCAAGCUUUGGUCCCCCUCUACA